CUACGGGGUGCAGCAGUGGGGAAUAUUGCACAAUGGGCGCAAGCCUGAUGCAGCCAUGCCGCGUGUAUGAAGAAGGCCUUCGGGUUGUAAAGUACUUUCAGCGGGGAGGAAGGGAGUAAAGUUAAUACCUUUGCUCAUUGACGUUACCCGCAGAAGAAGCACCGGCUAACUCCGUGCCAGCAGCCGCGGUAAUACGGAGGGUGCAAGCGUUAAUCGGAAUUACUGGGCGUAAAGCGCACGCAGGCGGUUUGUUAAGUCAGAUGUGAAAUCCCCGGGCUCAACCUGGGAACUGCAUCUGAUACUGGCAAGCAUGAGUCUCGUAGAGGGGGGUAGAAUUCCAGGUGUAGCGGUGAAAUGCGUAGAGAUCUGGAGGAAUACCGGUGGCGAAGGCGGCCCCCUGGACGAAGACUGACGCUCAGGUGCGAAAGCGUGGGGAGCAAACAGGAUUAGAUACCCCGGUGUC
rnacentral:rRNA from 1 species